UACGGGGGGGGCAAGCGUUGUUCGGAAUUACUGGGCGUAAAGGGCUCGUAGGCGGCCAACUAAGUCAGACGUGAAAUCCCCCGGCUCAACCGGGGAACGGGCGCGGAUACGACUCUCCUUGAGGGGCGUAGGGGGACCUGGAACUUCCGGUGGAGCGGUGAAAUGCGUUGAGAUCGGAAGGAACGCCCGUGGCGAAAGCGAGGUCCUGGACGCCUACUGACGCUGAGACGCGAAAGCCAGGGGAGCGAACGGG
rnacentral:rRNA from 1 species